rnacentral:rRNA from 1 species
GAUGAACGCUAGCUGCAGGCUUAACACAUGCAAGUCGAGGGACCGGCGCACGGGUGAGUAAUACGUAUCCAACCUGCCCUUUACUCGGGGAUAGCCUUUCGAAAGAAAGAUUAAUACCCGAUAUAAAGGAUGGGGAUGCGUUUCAUUAGGUUGUUGGUGAGGUAACGGCUCACCAAGCCUUCGAUGGAUAGGGGUUCUGAGAGGAAGGUACCCUGCAUUGGAACUGAGACACGGUCCAAACUGCGACGGGAGGCAGGAGUGAGGAAUAUUGGUGAAUGGGGGCUAGCCUGAACCUGCCACGUGUCGUGAAGGAUGAUGGCUUAUGGGUCUUAAACUUCUUGUAAAUAAGAAUCUGUAUUAUAUGAAUAAGGAUCGGCUAACUCCGUGCCAGCAGCCGCGGUAAUUC